rfam:Ictidomys tridecemlineatus contig015705, whole genome shotgun sequence.
GGGAGUGUCGCUCAGUGAUAGAGCGCUCGCCUAGCAAGUGUGAGGCCCUGGGUUCUGUCCCCAGCACUUCAA